ensembl:lncRNA
AAACAUGGAGAGAGUCCAGAAACGUCGCAGGCUUCUUGAUGUUGAUGAAAUUCACCGUAAAGUGGCUUGUCUACCCUUCAAAACAGGAUAUGUACUUAUGCCUUUAUUGCACAGCAUGGAGCGAAAAGACUAAAAAAGGGAUGGCUUGGGUAAGGGCAGUGUGGCAAGAGAAGACAAGGCAAGAGGAAGGGACGGUGCCGGACAGCUGGGUGGACCCAAAGAGCAUGUUAUUGUACUGGCCAAAUGUUGCAAAUGCAACAAGAUAUUUGAAGGAACGACGGCCACCAUCUGAUAGUUGGAGAAAGUUUCCACUUGUGAAAGAGAAGAUGAGAUCUGGUAGGUAACUUUACACGUUACAUCUAUUAUGUGCAUGUUAAUAAAUGACAACAUUUUUGCUUUGCCUUUCUUUACAUUAUUUUUGAUUUAUAGAUUACUUUAAAGAGUGUGACAACUGUGAACUCACAAGUAGUACAGAAGCUGAAGAAGGUUCACUGGAAGCAAAAAGAAGAAAAAUAUCGAAGAAAUUUGAAGACUGCUUGACAGAUCAUAGUUGUGACACUGAUCCACAAUUCGAAGAAGAAGAUAACCUUGGAAAUCGUCAGCUUCCUAACAGUAAUGAAGCAGAGCUAGAACUUCCUGUUGCUCCAAGGAAGGUGUGCAAGCUCUCCAAUGCAAGCUCUACAUCUUCUGUUUCAUCCAGGGGAUCAAGCUCUGGCUCUCCAUUGCCACUUCAAAAAAAGCAGACUUCAACAUCACAGGCCCCUGUGCAAACUAAGGAGGCCACAUCAAAAAACCAGACCAGACAACAUUCUGAUGGAGAACCGUCUUCACAAGAAAUCAGACAAUCUGGGUCACCUGUUGAUCGACAGUCCAGCAGCUCCAAACAAGAUGAAAAACGCUCCCCAUACCCAAUGCAAGAAGCAAAAUUCCAGAGAAAAGUAAUGGAGAUGCUUGUUGAAAUCCGUGAAGACAUCCGCACAUUAAAGAAAAGUGUGGGGGAUGCAGAAAUGCAUACUGUCUCAAAGAUUCCUGCCCAGUCCUCAACUGUUGAGGAACUUAACAUCCUUGAUAAAUCCCUCAACUGCUUGGAUGAGAAGCUGAGACUGAUUGAUAGCUUGUCCAGUGUUGGAGGGAUGCACCUGAAGGACAAUGUCAAGAGGGUCAUGGAGAAGUUGAUGACAAACGAGGUCAUGGCCCGUUUCAAUAUGAAGGGGGGGAAGGGGAAGCUUGCUUUCACCAAGCUCAAUCUGUACACUGUUGUCACAGAGAGUGUCCAGAAAACAUCUAAAGAGACGGAGGCAAACAUUGCAGCGGCCAUCGCCUUUUGUUUAAAAUAUGCCCCAGACAGGGCGGGUGGAGGUGGCAGGAAAAAAAGCUGUGAAUAAAACUGAUGUUAAUAUGUUUUGAAAAAUAAUCAGUUCCAAUAAGGUUGGUGUUAAAAUUAAAUUAUUUUGAAAAUGUUCUGUUCCAAUAAUGUUAAUAAUAAAACAAAUAAAUAAAUCA